GUCCUCAUGGUUAUUAUAUGAGGUCGGGCCUGCCCGGUGAUUUAUUUAACGGCCGCGGUAUUUUGACCGUGCAAAGGUAGCAUAAUCAUUAGUCUUUUAAUAGGGGGCUGGAAUGAAGGGCUUGACGAGGCACUAUCUGUCUCAAUUUAAUAAUUUGGACUUUAGCUUUUGAGUUAAAAGGCUCAAAUUUUUUUGGAAGACGAGAAGACCCUAUAGAGCUUGAUGGUCUUUUUACUAUCUUUUUUGUUUUAUUUUUAGUGGUAUUAAAUUUGACUUUUUUGUUGGGGCGACAAAAGAUAUAUAUUUAACUUUUAUUAUUUAUUUUACAUUAAUGUAUGAUUUUUAGAUCCAGUAUUACUGAUUAAUAGAAUAAGUUACCUUAGGGAUAACAGCGUAAUCUUCCUUCAGAGCUCAAAUUUACAGGAAGGCUUGCGACCUCGAUGUUGGAUUAAGAUAAUUGUUAGGUGUAGCAGCCUAAUUAAUGGGUCUGUUCGACCUUUAAAUUCUU
rnacentral:rRNA from 1 species